AAAAAAUAAAUCAGACGUUUCCAGCUACAAUAUUCAUUUACAACAUUAACAAUGUCUACACUGUAUUUCUGAUCAAUUUGAUGUUGUUUUAAUGGACAGAAAAUGUGCUUUUCUUUCAAAAACAAGGACAUUUCUAAGUGACCCCAAACUUUUGAACGGUAGUGUAUAUGGGAGGCAGGCAAGUACAUUUCACUGAGCCGUAUAAAGACAGACUGACAGGUAUGAGACAAUUAAUUGUAAUUUAUCUUAAUGUUCUUUUGUUGUUUGCAGGUGCACUAUCCUUCUGACCCUAUGCAGACAGGUCCCAUCUACUUUUUAACACCACGCAAGAGUGGCUUGUUUGGUGUCUGCUGUGAAGGAAUACCACAACAAGUCAACUACUUGAUUGAUGAAGACAUGUCAUCCAGCAUAGGCAGCAGUGUAGUCAUCAACUACAUACACCAUUUCUUCACCAUCUACAGAGUUGGGGAAACACGUGUGGACCUGAAUUGUGAUAACUGCAGUGGCCAAACCAAGAACAAGUUUGUGCUCUGGUAUUGUGCCUGGCGGACCAUGCACAAGCACUUCCUGACCACAGGCCACACCAAGUUUGCCCCCGACUGGUGCUUUCGGCCUCAUCAAGCAGCGCUUCAGAAAGACCAGAGUGAACACUGCCUGAGAUUGGUGGUGUUGUGAAGGACAGCACUGUGACAGGGGUCAACAUCCCACAGCUGGUUGGACUGGUGGAUGGUAUGGUGCUGGUGGAAAGCUAUGACUGGCAACAACACCUGACCCCGUAAGUCAGGCCGCUGCCACAGAUCAAGCAGUACCAGCAUUUCAGCUUCGAUGCUCUGUAGCCUGGUGUUGUUGUCGCCAAGAAGCAUUUGGACUCAGUCGGGACCAGGUUUCAACUGAUGCACAACGCUGACAUCCUUCAUCCCAUAGAUGGUCUGCCUGUACAAGCACCACCUGGACUGUACAAGCACUACCUGAUCUUUGAGAAGAUCAGGGAGUUUUGCGACAAAGAGGCUAUGGGCAUCACAUGCCCUGCACCAAAGUCAAGGGCAGGACAGAAAAUGGCUCGGACCAGUCAUCAGCACUAUCUGCAGUGCCUCUAUUCAAAUGACUCUCUCCGGACACACACGUUGCUGAUACAAUUUUUUUUAUUCAUACUUUUACUUUUGAUACUUAAGUAUUUUUAAAACCAAAUACUUUUAGACUUUUACUGGGUGACUUACUUUAGUCAUUUUCUAUUACGGUAUUUUUACAUCUGGCACUUUCUGUUUACCUGAAAUUUUUCCAUUAUUGUAGGCUACUAGCACUUUUAGUCUUAAUCUUUACUAUACUAUUCACUGUUUAGCACAUGACCUCAUGUGAAUCCUUAAAGAGAUAGGUGGGGCUGACUUAAGAGGGUGUGAACAAUGCUGAAUGGGUGUAGACAAAGGAGAGCUCUCCAGUAGGUACCAAAACAUUCAAAGGGCCCUUUCUCAAAGCAGAAUUACUUUCCCAUUGUUCCUCAAACAUGUCUCUACUUUUUACCAAUGUAAAAAAUCUAAUUUAACAUUUUGCUAUAAGACAGAAUCCAGGUGUUGAGUCACAAAUAGUAAAGAGAACAGGUCCAGAGCGACUUACAGGAGCUAUUAGGAUUAACUUCUUUGGGAUAGGGGGCAGUAUUUUCACGUCCAGAUGAAAAGCGUGCCCAGAGUAAACUGCCUGCUACUCAGGCCCAGAAGCUAGGAUAUGCAUAUUAUUAGUAGAGUUGGGUAGAAAACACUCUGAAGUUUCUAAUACUGUUUGAAUGAUGUCUGUGAGUAUAACAGAACUCAUAUGACAGGCGAAAACCUGAGAAAAAUCCAACCAGGAAGUGGGAAAUCGGAGGUUUGUAGUUUUUCAAGUGAUUGCCUAUCCAAUAUACAGUGUAAAUUUGGUCAGAUUGCACUUCCUAAGGCUUCCACUAGAUGUCAACAGUCUUUAGAACGUUGUUUCAGGCUUCUAUUGUGAAAGGGGAGCGAAUAAGACCACUCUAAGCAGUGGCUCAGCUGAGUUGUUGAUCACGCGCGGCCGUGAGAGCGAGCUCCGUUCCCUUUCCUUUCUAAUGACAACGGAAUUGUCCGGUUGGAAUAUUAUUGAAGAUUUAUGAUUAAAAACAUCCUAAAGAUUGAUUAUAUACAUCGUUUGACAUGUUUCUACGAACUGUAAUGGAACUUUUUUGACUUUUUGUCUGGACUUAGUGCCCGCGCCUUGUGCAUUUGGAUUAGUGAACUAAACGCGCGAACAAAAAGGAGGUAUUUGGACAUAAAGAUGAACUUUAUCGAACAAAACGAACAUUUAUUGUGGAACUGGGAUUCCUGGGAGUGCAUUCCGAUGAAGAUCAUCAAAGGUAAGUGAAUAUUUAUAACACUAUUUCUGACUUUUGUUGACUCCACAACAUGACGGGUAUCUGUAUGGCUUGUUUUGGUGGCUGAGCGCUGUACUCAGAUUAUCGCAUGGUGUGCUUUUACCGUAAAGCUUUUUUGAAAUCUGACACAGUGGUUGCAUUAAGGAGAAGAUUAUCUAUAAUCCUAUGCAUAACACUUGUAUCUUUCAUCAAAGUUUAUGAUGAGCAUUUCUGUAAAUUCAUGUGGCUCUCUGCAAAAUCACCGGAUGUUUUGUAGGCAAAACAUUACUGAACAUAACGCGCCAAUGUAAACUGAGAUUUUUGGAUAUAAAUAUGAACUUUAUCGAACAAAACAUACAUGUUUUGUGUAACAUGAAGUCCUAUGAGUGCCAUCUGAUGAAGAUCAUCAAAGGUUAGUGAUUCAUUUUAUCUCUAUUUCUGCUUUUUGUGACUCCUCUCUUUGGCUGGAAAAUGGCUGUAUGUUUUUUUGUGACUAGGCGCUGACCUAACAUAAUCGUAUGGUAUGCUUUCGCCAUAAAUCCUUUUUGAAAUCAGACACUGUGGCUGGAUUAACAAGAAGUUUAUAUUUUAAAUGGUGUAUAAUACUUGUAUGUUUGAGGAAUUUUAAUUAUGAGAUUUCUGUUGUUUUGAAUUUGGCUCCCUGCAAUUUCACUGGCUGUUGUCGAGAUGGGACGCUAGCAUCCCACAUAUCCCAGAGAAGUUAAGUGACUUGCUCAAGGGCACAACACUCUUAACCGCUAGGCUAUCUGCUGCCACCUUCCAUUCUACACAAAGUCGCUCUCACUCUCUCUCAACUAAUUACCUCAGUCUGCUCUUCUUCUUGUUAAUUGUGGCUGUAUUUAGGAACAUCGAGAGGGAGAAGGGAGGGAAGGAAACAGAGGAUGACUAUGUGAUCGGUGUAGUUUUCUUCCUAAAAGUAAAGGAGCCUUUUCACUUCACAGACCCAUUUCCAUGUUCAACUGUUUAUUCUCUCUAGGGGUUUUGUUAUCUAUUUCACAAGUAAAUAAAAUAGAUCAAACUCAAUGCUGCAAGGCCACUACAAUUGUAUUUUGGGAUGUGUGUGUGUUAGGAAUUAUGAAGAGCGGGUGUUGUGAGGAGGUGUGGGGAGGUUGGGAUGAGGUGGACAAGAAGCGGGUGAGGGGUUGAGGGGGUAACAUGGCAUACUGGGAGACAAGGCAGCACAGAUGGCAGUACCAACAGAAGGCCCAGCAUACAUCUCACUCUCUGUAUUCUGAGCCAAAGGCUUGUGCAACACAGACCACUUCUAGGGAGAUG
rnacentral:lncRNA from 1 species